UUGUUUGCUGGUGGAGCAUCAUCAAGAUUCACAAGCUAUAGAGGGGUUUGUUUGAGGCUUGGUCCCUUUGUUGCUCCAAACCAACUAGCCUUUGUGAUAUGAGAAUCUUGAUGAUGCUGCAGUGGCAAUAGA